rnacentral:rRNA from 1 species
GACGAACGCUGGCGGCGUGCUUAACACAUGCAAGUCGAACGGAAAGGCCCUGCUUGCAGGGUGCUCGAGUGGCGAACGGGUGAGUAACACGUGGGUGAUCUGCCCCUUACUUUGGGAUAAGCCUGGGAAACUGGGUCUAAUACUGGAUAGGACCAUGCUGUAGGUGGUGUGGUGGAAAGAUUAGUUUCGGUAAGGGAUGAGCUCGCGGCCUAUCAGCUUGUUGGUGGGGUAAUGGCCUACCAAGGCGUCGACGGGUAGCCGGCCUGAGAGGGUGGACGGCACAUUGGGACUGAGAUACGGCCCAGACUCCUACGGGAGGCAGCAGUGGGGAAUAUUGCACAAUGGGCGCAAGCCUGAUGCAGCGACGCCGCGUGGGGGAUGACGGCCUUCGGGUUGUAAACUCCUUUCAGCCAUGACGAAGCCCUUGUGGUGACGGUAGUGGUAGAAGAAGCACCGGCUAACUACGUG